CGUAGGGGGCGAGCGUUGUCCGGAUUUACUGGGCGUAAAGCGCGUGUAGGCGGCCGUUUAAGUUGGGUGUGAAAGCCCGGGGCUCAACCCCGGGACGCCGCCCAAGACUGGACGGCUUGAGGACGGAAGAGGGGAGUGGAAUUCCAGGUGUAGCGGUGAAAUGCGUAGAGAUCUGGAGGAACACCCGUGGCGAAGGCGGCUCCCUGGUCCGUCCCUGACGCUGAGACGCGAAAGCGCGGGGAGCGAACGGGAUUAGAUACCCCGGUAGUCCGCGCCGUAAACGAUGGUCACUAGGUGUGCGAGGUAUCGACCCCUCGCGUGCCGGCGCUAACGCAUUAAGUGACCCGCCUGGGGAGUACGGCCGCAAGGUUG
rnacentral:rRNA from 1 species